CUACGGGGAUGAUUUUACGAACUGAACUCUCUCUUUCUGAUGGAUUAGUGGAGAAAACACAGAAAAUUCUGAGUAGC
ensembl:snoRNA SNORD26 Small nucleolar RNA SNORD26